AAUUCCGACGAGGGCGUUCUUCUAGACUUAAUAAACUUGCGAAUCGCUUCAGGCGACUCAAAGUUAAAAGAACAUUUACAGACAGGUCACCGAAACGCAGUUUAUACUUCACCACAAAUUCAAAAUGACAUCAUACACAUUUUCGGAGAAAUUAUUAAAGAACUUAUUGUGAAUGAUAUAAAAACAACAAAUCCUUACACCGUCUUAGCAGAUGAAACUGCUGAUAUAUCCGGCAAAGAGCAGCAUUCAAUUGGUUUGCGCUUUUUCGAAGAACAAAAGGAAAUAAUAAGAGAAGAAUUUGUGGGAUUUAUUGAGCUCUCAGCCCAAAAUGCUUCUAACAUUGCUGAAGAAAUAGAUAAGUUUUUGGUGUAUCAUGAACUCUUAACGGAAUCUUGAGUUGGGUUGGGCUUCGACGGCUGUUCUGCAAUGGCAGGAAAAGAAGGUGGUGUGCAAGCGAUUUUAAGAAGAAAAUAUACCCGCGCAGAAUAUUUUCAUUGCUCCAGCCAUAAACUGAACCUGGUUGUCAAUGAUACAAAUGCGGUUCCAGAAAUAAGAAAUGCCAUAUCAACAACAAAGGACGUUAUAAACUUUUUUCGCGAAUCAACCACGCGAAGGAACUGUGCGCCUACUAUAGCACGUUUGUGUGAACCCGGAUGGUCGCAAAAAUAUAAGGCAGUAAGAAAGUUUUCUGAAAAUUUUCCUGAAAUUGUUGAAGGAUUGGAAAAAUUAUCCAUAGAUGGAAACUAUAGCACAAGAAAGAGUGCAUACCAGCUUCAUUCAGCAGUGACAAAAUCGGUGUUUAUCGUUUCCCUAAUGACAAUUGCAAAAUACUCUGCAUUACUGGAACCAACAGUAAACAAUUUGCAAACGAAAGCCAUUGAUAUGAUUGCAGUAGAUGAGCAUAUUGAAAAAAUUAUUGAGGUAAUUGAAAACGAUCGUAGCAAUGCAGAGGAAGUAACGAAUGAACUCCUUGCACAAGCGCGAAGAGUUGCAACUGCGCUAGAUAUAGAACUAUCUUUACCGCGUUUAGGUGUAUAACAAAAACAUAGAAACAAUCCUCCAUCAAACAACGAAGAUGAGUACUGGCGACGCUGUAUUGUGAUUCCAUAUCUUGACCCCUUAACAGCUUCGUUUAAAAUAAGAUUUGCCCGUGAAAAAACUCCAGCAUAUGCGCUAUCUCGGUUGCAUCCAUUGUAUAUGCUCAAAAGUUCAAUUGAAGCCAUUUUUGAAAACUCGAAACUAUUCGAAAAGCAUUAUGAUUUAGAUGUCAGCAAUGAAUUGAAACUUUGGUACAAUUUAUGGAAAAAUAAAAAUUUAUCAGAAAUGGAAUUAAGAGAAAUUGAAGUUGUUGAAUUGAUCAAACAGGCAGAUGAAUUUUACCCUUCAAUUCGAAAAGCUCUCAAAAUAUUAUGUACAUUACCAUGCACUACAGCAACGGUGGAGCGUUCAUUUAGUACGCUAAGGAGAGUUAAAACUUGGCUUCGGGGCACGAUGGGAGAAGAGAGACUAUCUGGAUUAUGUCUGAUGAGCGUGCAUCGCACAUUUGUGAAAGAACAUCAACAGGUCAUUGAGGAAAAAAUCAUCAAUAAAUUUUCAGAAAAUCCUAGACGUUUACUACUUGCAUAAAAAUUUAUCCUGGCUACGUCCUUGAGUACUCUCCGUAGCAACUUUGUCCGAAGUUAACGUUUUUUCUUGUUUAAAAUAAACUUUUGCCAGUACCUGAGCGAAUUUUUCGAACUUUGAUUAUUGCAAAUAGCAAGAGGAUAAAUUAUUCGGUUACACCCUUGACAUGACUUUUUUAAUUACUAUUGUAUGGCAUCCAAUAUAAACGGUUAAAAACUAUCCAUUCUGCAAAUUUUCCAUUAAAUAGACAUAUACAGUCGUAUUUGUCAAUAGAUGUCGUUGCAGUCGUGUAUCUCUAGUGCUACCAAUCACUUUGUGUCCUACCAUAUAGUGUUUGAAA